CACAAAAUAUCGUAAUAUUCAGGAUAGACUGACACCAGUUCUCUGCUUCAGCUUCUUCCAGUCAGGAAAGCAAAGCCAGACCUCACUGCCAAGCUUCACAAAGGCUAGAUUGAUGAUGCCGACAUCGACAAAUGAACAUACCAUGGCAGCCUGGUCAUUCGGCUCAGUUUCAGGAUGACGGAGUUGCAGAGAGCUGAGCUUCCCUGUUGCUGGAGAAGUGAGAGCAGCUGGUCCAGUGCAGAGACAGCCAGUGCAUGGUCUGCAGCAUCCGGGAUGCAGUUGCUGCCGCCAGGAGAUGGAGUGAAAAGGGCUCCCCAGGACGCUCCCCCCCCGUACCGUUGUGGCGUUCGCGUCGUCAGAUCCCAGAGCCGGAUAUUCCGAAGGCAUCGGGGCAAUGAAUUACGCGUUUGA
rnacentral:lncRNA from 1 species